AUGGCGAGGCAUGGCCUCCUCGCCGUGCUCCUCAUCGGGGUAGUGGCAGCAUCCACUUUCCACCAAGCAUCCGCUGCUGGCCGAGGCCUUGCUGCCGUCAAGAAGUUUGCAGAGCCAAAGCCAAAGCCAGAACACAAACCAGAGCCAAUGCCAAAACCUAUGCCACUCUCAGAGCCGGAGCCUUGCAAACCUGAACCGAUGCCCAAACCCAAACCAAAGCCUAGACCCAAGCCUGAACUUGGACCCAAGCCCGAGCAGAUGCCAAAACUGAAGCCAAAGCCCAAGCCCAAGCCCUGCUCCAAACCAAAGCCAAAGCCUAAGCCCGAGCCCAUGCCGAAACCUGAACCAAAGUCGGAGCCCAAGCCUAAACCUGAACCGAAACCGAAGCCGCCUCCAAAGUGCAAACCACCGACCAAUCACAGUUGA
rnacentral:rRNA from 1 species